rnacentral:rRNA from 1 species
CCAAUAGCGUAUAUUAAAGUUGCUGCAGUUAAAAAGCUCGUAGUUGAAUUUCGGGAUCAAUAUGUUGGUCGUGCCUCGGUACGUACUAGCUUAUUGGUUUCUCCCUUCUGACGAACCAUGAUGUCAUUUAUUUGGUGUUAUGGGGAAUCAGGACUGUUACUUUGAAAAAAUUAGAGUGUUUAAAGCAGGCUCACGCUUGAAUACAUUAGCAUGGAAUAAUGAAAUAGGACGUUUGAUUCUAUUUUGUUGGUUUCUAGGAUCGACGUAAUGAUUAAUAGGGAUAGUUGGGGGCAUUAGUAUUCAAUUGUCAGAGGUGAAAUUCUUGGAUUUAUUGAAGACUAACUACUGCGAAAGCAUUUGCCAAGGAUGUUUUCAUUAAUCAAGAACGAAAGUUAGGGGAUCGAAGACGAUCAGAUACCGUCGUAGUCUUAACCAUAAACUAUGCCGACUAGGGAUCGGAUGAUGUUAAUUUCUUAAUGACUCAUUCGGCGCCUUACG